UGCUGUACAGUCUACAAGGGUACGUAGAUCACUCAUCCCCUCUCGUAGAUGGACAUCACCAUGAUAGGUCUUCGUGCGCGUAGGAAAUUUUUUGUUUCCCAUGCGACGUUCCCCAACACAGCCCACCCCGGGGAAGCCCAUAGGCCUUAGGGGUUCCGCACCAGCCCUUAGUGGUCUGGUGGGCAAGCCCAAGAAGGCCUCUGCGCAGG
rnacentral:lncRNA from 1 species